UACGUAGGGGGCAAGCGUUGGUCCGGAUUCAUUGGGCGUAAAGAGCGUGUAGGCGGCCAGGUAGGUCGGUUGUGAAAACUGGAGGCUCAACCUUCAGAAGGUCGACCGAAACCAUCUGGCUAGAGUCCGGGAGAGGAGAGUGGAAUUCCUGGUGUAGCGGUGAAAUGACGCAGAUAUCAGGAAGAACACCCGUGGCGAAAGCGGCUCUCUGGAACGGUACUGACGCUGAGACGCGAAAGCGUGGGGAGCGAACAGG
rnacentral:rRNA from 1 species